UCGAUAAUUUCCUCCUGUAAAAUUUCUUUGUACUAUUUUGAGAUCUGUUCAGGGAGUACAAGCCACCGAGGCCCUGAAGUACCAAAGUAACCCUAAAACAUGAUGGUCCCUCCACCGUGCUUCACAAAUCAGAUGAGGCUUUGCUCCAAGUGUAGCGCCGGGAUUUUAACUUCAGUUUCACCUCUCCUCAGAGGUGAGCCGUAGAAGUAGUAAGGAAAUACCAUUAACAUUUCUCUCACAAUGAACACGUGAACACAUGCUUUAGCAAGUUGUAAAGAUUUCUGCACGUCUUCUACUAUUGCCCUUGUGUUUUAGUUCACCUGUUCCGGAUUGUAGAUCAUCCUCUUGAAAUGAUCCUUUCAAGUAGUAACAAAUCAUGAAUUUUCUGUAUUUUACAGGUAACUUAUUUUUACUGUGGAUUGAUUAAAACCCAGGACUUUAAAAACCGUUGAGACAUUUUCAUCUUUUUGCAUCUUUUCAAUGCGAUUCCUCAAAGGCCCUGUGAAUGGUGACACACCAAUAGUUUUUCAGAAGAGCCACACUGACAUUACAGACUUUGUAUCCCUCGAUUAAUAGGGAGGGGCACCUCCACAACUAUGCUCCAAAUCUUAUCUCCUUGACUGGAAUAACCAUGACGAAGUACCUUUAGAAGCAGCCAUGAGUGGACACAAAAAGUUUCCAUAUUUCCCAUUUAGUCAGAAACUUUGACGAUGAUCCAAUUACAUUUUACGAGUCACGUAAGCAGAACUCCUGGUAAUUCCAGUAGGUUCACAGAAGUUUUUCCUCGAACUGAAAUAUUGAUAGUACAUUAACACAAGCACAGUUCUGAGCUACUGUGACUGUGCUCAAAAAUUCUCAUUAAACACUACUUUAAACUUCCCUCGAUUUGAGAGAGGAGUUUGCACAUUUUACUUGACUAUACAUGUCUAUGUACUUUUUUAAAAGAAAACAAAUCAUGUUCAUGCUAUUUAACACAAUGCAAGGCGAGAUGUUAAACUGCUCCACAGACUAUUAAGAAGUUAGAAGUUGACACACUUUCACUAACUAAUCAAUUAAAAUGAGCCGGUUCUAGUCAAGUAUUGAAAUCCACACUCUAGAUGAUUCAGUAGGAUCACUUUACUUUUUUAGUCACCUGUACUCUAACUGAAAUCUUGUUUUUGACUUGGGAUCUAGCGCAGUCAAUUUGUUCUUUCUGUAUGCAGUUUAUUAACAUAUGUAUAUGUGUGCGUGUGUUUAUACGAAUGCAUGACUUGAUAUCUUACUGAACUUCAACUUGAGUGGGAUUUUAAGGAGUUUUCAUCAAUCUACCAAUUCCUGUAAGCCAUGAGCGAAUUCCCGUAAAUCCUAUUUCUAUUUCAGUUUCCUUAUUACUGGCACAUGGGAAGUUAUUAGCACGGAAUUCCCCUAUGUGGAAAACUCUGAAGUCUCUAAACAGUAAAUGCGCCAGUCGCUCGUCGGAGAAGGCAGUGAGACGGAUGCGCGUGUAGUCGGCUCCCGGAUGAAUUGCAGAAACGCUUAAAAAAGGACAGAAUUUCUUGCAAACUCUUGAUCCUUUUCUUUCACUUGACUCUAUUUUGACAGUGGCGCUGCCUGUUACCAGUAAGAGUUUAUCUAGCCCCAGUAAUAGUUUUUUUCUGGCUUUUUUUAAGUAAAUGAAAAUAUGUGUGGGUGCACGUGUCUGUUACGAUGGUGGAGUCGACACUAAUUAAAGACAUCCAUCAGAUUAUGACAGUGCUGCCAGGCAGCAAUGCAUCGUGGGACCUCACCAGUGCAUCCAAGACAGCAAUCAAAGACACUGAUGAUGUUCCACAGCAAGAUUCAUCUUGUUUCUGUUGAUUCACUGACAAACUAUGUGUGGGAUAAACCGAGGCACACAGUGUCAUAUGUUUUUAAAUCAUUACGCUUCCCUCAAUAAAGUUGUUUAAAGUCGUCGCCUGCAGUCAGCUGCAGGUCGAAGUCUUUCGUUUUACGAAUCCUUCUUUUAGGUUGAGGUUGCACAUCAAGCACUGCAACAAGUGCAUUAAGGACUUCAGGUGUUUGUUGUGGCUACAAUGACGUUCUUACUGCUUGAGGAAUGCAGUCAAGUAUUUCAUGCAUGCUGUACAGGAUUUAUUUACUGCCCUUUUAGACACCUGCACCCAACUAGACCAAAUCACUUCCUUCUUACGGGAAAUUGUUUACUGGUAAAAUGGAAAAAAGCUAAUUAAGCGUGAUUCAGGCCUUCAAGGACCUUGGAGCAAGGAUAAAGCUUUCUUAGAAAAAUGCAAAGGUGGCAGCUUUUGUGAGUAAAUCAUAGUGUGAGAAUAAGAAAAGAGUUAUAUAAAUUUAAAAAAAAAUACUCCUCAGGAUUAGCAGAUUUUUAUUUUUUUUGCAAUUAGUUUUUCAUGCUGAUGUCUUAGAGUGCAAUGAAAAAUAUCAACCAGCGUGAUGGGGGAGUUUCAAAGUGUUGCACUCAAGGCCCUCAGAUUGCAUUUUGGUCAUUUGGCUGCUUUGAGUGGUAAUUUGUUACUACUUUGCAAAAAAGUGCAUAAAAUGCAAGAUCUUGUUCUUACAAUACUGCAUGUGGCUUAAUGUGCUUAAAGUGUGCUGUUGAAAACUGCCUUGUAAAAAGGGGCAGGUUAGACACUAGAAGUAAUUAAUCACGUUCUUCUUAAAAAAAUAUUUCCACACCUGUCAGAUCUGCGGGUUGAUAGUGGCUUUUUCUUUGUGUUGUCAUUUACCUGUUUUGGAUCGUCAAAGGUCCACACCAGUGUUUUUGCUUGUUUUAGCUCACUUCACAGCAUGCAAUGUAUGCUGACCUUGAUAGAGUUGCUUUAUUGUACGAUGUGCAUAUUUUUGGCAACACAUCACUGAAGUAUAAAAACGUCCGUGGGAAAGCUAAGGGAACACCAUGAUCCUUUUGCUGAAGUUCACGUGUGGCCAUGCCCAGAUGAAAGAAUGGAUGUGUCACACACUGUCAGUCACCAAACAGAAACCAAGGUGGAGUAAGGAACGUUGCUUUCUCCAUGUUUAGGUAAAUAAAAUUUUUCAAUUUUUAUUCAGCAUUGUUCCAGUAAGCAAACAUUAGGCUUAAGGUAACCUCUGAGUCUGGUAGUUAGAUUGUUGCUUUAUUAUUUUCUUGUCAGAUUUUUGGGGGUCAUUUUGGACGCGUCUCCUCUUUAAUUGUAACACGGCCCCCAUAUUUUUAAAAAUGCAAUAAGGCUGCAUGCUAAUUGGACCUCAUGCUUUUGCUGUCAAAUAGCUGACAGUAUAUCAUGACGUGUACUUGCGAAUAUUACGUGACCUGUUGCAUGCGAUCUUAUCUAGUCAUUCUGUGUCUAUGCCGCUAUCCCCCUCUGACAACUAUUGAUGAAUUGCUGUAGUUACUGCACCAAUAAACAAAUUUAAUGGAAACAUCACAGUCAUUUAUUCCGUUUUGCUCUUUUUUGAAGUCUCAGUCUCUUUUGCAUGCAUACCUGCAUGUACUGUGGCCAGUUUUCACAGUGAAAGACUGACAUAAGGGUGUGACUUCCACACACAUCCUGGAAUACACGGUUGCUUAAUAUUCCUAAAUGAAAACCGAUUACUGACAGCAUUUCUUGUAAAACUGUGUCGCAACACAUUUUAUGAAUGAAAGUGCAGACAGACUUUAGAGUUGUGGUUUUUUUUAAAGAAAAGAAAAGAAAAAAAGAAGAGAGAAUUAAAAACAGGAACUUGGUUUAACUUGUCCGAAAGACUCAUCUUGUGGGGUUUUCUGUUACCGUAUGCUACAUUUUUACAUCCUCAGUUUUAGGGAAGUUCUUCGAUUAUAGCACUCUCACUAACCCAGGCAACUGUGUUGCGUAUUUGUUUUACUGCUUCUUCAGUUCUCCGGCAAAACAGCAACCAAGAGAAGACAUGAGUUAGAAUUCUAGGGCCAUUAUUUUACAGAUUACAUGAAAGUGUGUAAUGCAUUUGUGUAGAGUUUAUGUGUCACUUGUAAAGAGUGCAGAGAGUGCUAGAAAUGUGUGACAUGACAAUAAACACACAUGUUAAAACCGGUUCCAGCUGCCUUCACAUGGGUAACAAAUUAAAAUCAUAAUUAAUAGAAAGUGUCUUACUUUUAGCUGCUCAUCAAACAGCUCGCUGUGCAUGUAUCAGGAUUAUUUAGGUUUAUUGUAGCCCUAUACAUAUAAACAAGGUUAAGGUAAUAUGUAUGGAAUUUUUUAGUAUUUCAUAUUAUAUUAAUUUUACAAAACUCAAAUUAUUGUUGUUAUUAUUAUUAUUAUUAUCAUUAUUAGAAGUAUUAGUAUGGUUUUUCUUGUUGUUUUAUUAAUUUUAAAAGUAUGUAUUUUAAAAGUAUAUUACCGUGACUAUUACUCAAAGUCUUUUGUUACAAGUAAACAGAGACAUGUUGGCAUAUUUCUUUCUUUUUUUCAUUUUAUUAAUGUUCCCAUCUACAUUUCAGACAUACAGAUGGAAAAUAUGUCUCAGUUCUGAUUUGCCUCUCGGACUCUCUUUCUUUCUCUCCUUAUGAUCAGUAUUAUUGUAGAUGGACUGCUAUUGUUGUUACUUCUUGUUGUUUUCUGCAGGCAGGCAAGAAUUUUUGGCACGACAUCCUGGGUUGUGGGUGGUGGCCACUUGUCCCCUGAAACCUCUGUCAUAGUUGUCAGCAAUACUGGACAUCCUGCUUCUUUUAAUGCAUUACUUGCUCAGUAGGAAGAGAAGAAAAUAAAAGCUCUCCACGGGAAAAGAGUGUACAGACAAAACCAGUGACGUCACGUCAUUUUCAUACUGGCAAUGGGAGCGUUUACAUCCAAGAGAACACCCGCAUCAGGAUAAAAACAUGCCUCCAGACUGCAUAGCAGAGCCACUGAAUCACCAGGCUUCAGAUUUUCCUUUAAUUUGUCACCUAUCUUCAAACACUAGAGAGGGAGCAGCAUAUGGGCUGAACAAUACAAGUAAUGCUUGUGCACUAUUUUAGACACGUCGCUGGCAUCAUCUCGGCCUGUUUACUUCCAACUUAAGUCUCGUCUCUAAAUGUCUUCACUUUAGUCCCCUCAUCCUGCUUUCUUCACUUCUGCAGUGUGCUAAAUACAUGUUCCCCCUCGGUCUUCAGGAUCCCCUUCAGGUGCAUGUUCUUUCAGCUCUCAAGAGGCGGAUGGGCAGGGACCGAUCAGUGUGCUCACCUGCUGCUCAAGGAAGUCAUUUCAAUUUUUUCUUAGCCAACUUCAAGAACGUGAUGCCAAACUUGUCCUUCUCGUAACUCAGCACAGACUAUGCGAGUUCUUUUCCAAGAUCAGCAAUAAGAGGGCACGCUGUUUGGUUUUAGUUCUAAUUAAGCUGUUUCCUUGUACCACAUAAUCCAUUUGAAUAAAACCUGUUUGUCUGUGAGCUUCCCGUGCAUUAAUCAAAUCAGACAUUCUAAAAACACUGUGGGGGGGGUUUUCUCCCAACAAAUGCUGAUGGGCUACUUUGGUUACAUUUUUGACUGAAUAAAAGACAAUAAUGGAAAA